GAUAUUUGAUGGUUUAUGUGAUCUUGAACAAUUUGGACUUAGUUAGGUAGUUGUGAUACUGAACCGAAUUACACGGUGGAUUAUGAGAUUUUAAUUGGAUUUAGUUAGGUGAUUGUGCUUAAGAUGAUAAUCAAUUCUUUUGGUGGAUUAUGAGAUUUUAGGUCUAGUAGAUGAGCACGGUGAUUACUAUAUUGGUGAAUAAAUAGAUAUUUAAUUUAGUUUGGAACAAUUUGGAUUUAGUUAGGUGAUUGUGAUCUUUUGAGCAAUUUUUACGAUGGAUUAUGAGGUUUUGGUUGGAUUUAGUUAAGAUGAUUGGGAUCUUGACGAGCUAGUAAAAUAUGUUCAACAAAUUAUGUGAAUUUAGGUCUAGUAGGUGAGCAUGUUGGUUAUUUUAUUGAUGGAUAAAUAACUUUUAAUAAACUUGAAAAAUUUGGAUUUGUUUAGGCAAUUGUGAUCUUGAACCAAAUUUUGUGAUGGAUUAUGAGAUUUUUGAUGGAUUAGUUAGUUAAUUGUGAUCUUGAGGAUAUAAUCAAAGUUGUUCGAUGUAUUAAUUAAUCUUGUACAAUUUGGAUUUAGUUUGGUGAUUGUGUGCUGAUCAGUAAGAGCAACACGAGCAAGAAGAUCCUGGAUAUACUUCUCUUAGGAAAUAAAGAAGCCAUUAGAGGUAUACAAAAUCUCAAUCUCAAGGAAGUAGCGUCUUUUUUAGUAAACAUGGAGCAAUUUGGAAUUAGUUAGGCGAUUGUGAUCUUGAACAAAUUUCAUAGUGAAUUACGAGAUUUUUCAAUGAGUUUAGUUGAUUGUGAUCUGGAGGAGAUAGUUAAAGAUAUUUGAUGGUUUAUGUGAUCUUGAACAAUUUGGACUUAGUUAGGUAGUUGUGAUACUGAACCGAAUUACACGGUGGAUUAUGAGAUUUUAAUUGGAUUUAGUUAGGUGAUUGUGCUUAAGAUGAUAAUCAAUUCUUUUGGUGGAUUAUGAUAUUUUAGGUCUAGUAGAUGAGCACGGUGAUUACUAUAUUGGUGAAUAAAUAGAUAUUUAAUUUAGUUUGGAACAAUUUGGAUUUAGUUAGGUGAUUGUGAUCUUUUGAGCAAUUUAUACGGUGGAUUAUGAGGUUUUGGUUGGAUUUAGUUAGGUGAUUGGGAUCUUGACGAGCUAGUAAAAUAUGUUCAACAAAUUAUGUGAAUUUAGGUCUAGUAGGUGAGCAUGUUGGUUAUUUUAUUGAUGGAUAAAUAACU